GUGGAGGUGGGUAGAUCUGAAGGGGCAAAUGGCAUGGCAGAUUACAGAGAGGGAUUUUAGAGAGAGAGAGAGAAAGAAAGAGGUGGAUGGGGGAAGAAAUGGUGUAUGCAAAGAAGGUAUACAGAGGAGAGGGAUUACAGAUUGUAGGUUGCAGAAACUUUUUUUUUUAAUUUUAAUUUUUUUUAAAUUUUUAAUAUUUAUGUUGGUCCCUAUGACACGUGAAGCCUAGUCACUGUCUAUGUGAGCGCCACAUCACUAGUUAACCGGCUGAUUUAAUAGAAAACUUAACGGAUAUAUGAAAGUGUCCCAAAAUUAUGACUUUAUGUACCACUCUGGGAUGAAAAAAACUUCAUGUAUUAAAUAUUGAAAACCAAGAAAUUUCAUAGUAGAAAACUGAGAUUAACCCCUUCAGUUUUAACGAAAUCGUGGCUACAAAAUACUUCAAUAAAGAGAAUAUUAAAGAUAAGAUUUAGUGAUUAAUCAAUCAUAUCAUUAAUCUUAUCUUUAAUGUCUUUGAUAUUUCUCCUUAUCAUGGGCAGGAGGGGUUGAUGAUGUCAUAGUCAGCUGCUCAUGUUUUCAUAGAGGCUGAACAACGCGUGCAUUAAACGCGAGCCUCGCCAAUUUAAUAAGGGUAUUCUUGUUUUUUUUUUUUGUAAAAAAUCCACGUGACAACUCUAUAAUUUUCUAAAUUAUUUUUUGCUUCACAAUUAGGUAACUUUUUUAAAUUUGAAAAAUAAAAACUAAUAAGUAAAUGAAACAAUCUUUGAAACUUUGUAUAAAUCAUGAAUUGACGUAGGAAAAAGAAAGAAAGAAAGAAGGCAAUGAAGGGAUAGACAAAGAGGAAUGAGGAGAUUCGGACUUUGGUUGGUUGUUGACUUGUUGUGGAAGUUGGUUCGUAGGGUCGCUUUCGGGGUUGGGUCAGUGGAGGCUUUUGUGCUUGGUUUCUCAUUCUAACCUUUUUUCUCAUUUAAAUUAACAGCGUCAAGUAAGAGUUAAAUGAAGAAACAUGUGUCACAAAAUUAAGUUGGUCAUUGGGUUGGCAAAGGAAAAUUAAGCACAACAAAUCUAAUUUCUUUUGUGUUAAUGAUAUAUUGACGUGCGUGAAUUAUUUUUAUAUUGUUGUAGUCAUAUUUGGAAUAUGAAUGUAAUUGUGUAAAUCCUAAUGUAUAUAAGGAUAUUUUUUAUAUUCCCUUUAGUAGUUUAAUUCCUAUUAAGAGUUGUAAUCCUAAAAGGGUAAGGAUUUAACAUAUCAUACUAUAAAUGAAGGUACAAAGGGGUGAUACUACACACACCUCACAAUUAAAUCUCUCUCUUUUCUCUCUUAUUGUUACUGGCCUCCCCUUUCUAUUCCCUUAGAAUAGCUCAGUUAAAUAGGCCUACAACAUGUUAUCAGCACGCUCUUGCCA
rnacentral:lncRNA from 1 species